rnacentral:rRNA from 1 species
CGGAGCUAACGCGUUAAGUCGACCGCCUGGGGAGUACGGCCGCAAGGUUAAAACUCAAAUGAAUUGACGGGGGCCCGCACAAGCGGUGGAGCAUGUGGUUUAAUUCGAUGCAACGCGAAGAACCUUACCUGGUCUUGACAUCCACGGAAGUUUUCAGAGAUGAGAAUGUGCCUUCGGGAACCGUGAGACAGGUGCUGCAUGGCUGUCGUCAGCUCGUGUUGUGAAAUGUUGGGUUAAGUCCCGCAACGAGCGCAACCCUUAUCCUUUGUUGCCAGCGGUCCGGCCGG